rnacentral:rRNA from 1 species
CUUGAUUUUCAAACUUAGCGGCGGACGGGUGAGUAACACGUGGGCAACCUGCCCUUGAGACGGGGAUAACUCCGGGAAACCGGAGCUAAUACCGGAUAACACAUAUCUUCGCAUGAGGAUAUGUUAGAAGGUGGCUUUUAGCUACCACUCAAGGAUGGGCCCGCGGCGCAUUAGCUAGUUGGUGAGGUAACGGCUCACCAAGGCGACGAUGCGUAGCCGACCUGAGAGGGUGAUCGGCCACACUGGGACUGAGACACGGCCCAGACUCCUACGGGAGGCAGCAGUAGGGAAUCUUCCGCAAUGGACGAAAGUCUGACGGAGCAACGCCGCGUGAGUGAUGAAGGUUUUCGGAUCGUAAAGCUCUGUUGUUAGGGAAGAACAAGUACCUGUUGAAUAAGCAGGUACCUUGACGGUACCUAACCAGAAAGCCACGGCUAACUACGUGCCAGCAGCCGCGGUAAUACGUAGGUGGCAAGCGUUGUCCGGAAUUAUUGGGCGUAAAGCGCGCGCAGGCGGUUCCUUAAGUCUGAUGUGAAAGCCCACGGCUCAACCGUGGAGGGUCAUUGGAAACUGGGGAACUUGAGUGCAGAAGAGGAGAGCGGAAUUCCACGUGUAGCGGUGAAAUGCGUAGAGAUGUGGAGGAACACCAGUGGCGAAGGCGGCUCUCUGGUCUGUAACUGACGCUGAGGCGCGAAAGCGUGGGGAGCGAACAGGAUUAGAUACCCUGGUAGUCCACGCCGUAAACGAUGAGUGCUAAGUGUUAGAGGGUUUCCGCCCUUUAGUGCUGCAGCAAACGCAUUAAGCACUCCGCCUGGGGAGUACGGUCGCAAGACUGAAACUCAAAGGGAAUUGACGGGGACCCGCACAAGCGGUGGAGCAUGUGGUUUAUUUCGAAGCACCGCGAG